rnacentral:rRNA from 1 species
AUUGAACGCUGGCGGCAUGCUUUACCCAUGCAAGUCGAACGGUAACAGGCCGCAAGGUGCUGACGAGUGGCGAACGGGUGAGUAAUGCAUCGGAACGUGCCCAGUCGUGGGGGAUAACGCAGCGAAAGCUGCGCUAAUACCGCAUACGAUCUCUGGAUGAAAGCGGGGGACCGAAAGGCCUCGCGCGAUUGGAGCGGCCGAUGUCAGAUUAGGUAGUUGGUGGGGUAAAGGCCCACCAAGCCAACGAUCUGUAGCUGGUCUGAGAGGACGACCAGCCACACUGGGACUGAGACACGGCCCAGACUCCUACGGGAGGCAGCAGUGGGGAAUUUUGGACAAUGGGCGCAAGCCUGAUCCAGCAAUGCCGCGUGCAGGAAGAAGGCCUUCGGGUUGUAAACUGCUUUUGUACGGAACGAAACGGUCCGGGUUAAUACCCUGGGCUAAUGACGGUACCGUAAGAAUAAGCACCGGCUAACUUCGUGCCAGCCGCCGCAGUAAGAC